UACGGAGGGGGCUAGCGUUAUUCGGAAUUAUUGGGCGUAAAGGGCGUGUAGGCGGCUUCGUAAGUCUCAUUGUGAAAGCCCUCGGCUCAACCGAGGAACUGCAUGGGAAACUGCGGAGCUUGAGUCCGGGAGAGGAGAGCGGAAUUCCCAGUGUAGCGGUGAAAUGCGUAGAUAUUGGGAGGAACACCGGUGGCGAAGGCAGCUCGCUGGGACGGUACUGACGCUGAGACGCGAAAGCGUGGGGAGCAAACAGG
rnacentral:rRNA from 1 species